ACACCAUGGGAGUGGGUUUCGACCAGAAGCAGCUAGCCUAACCGCAAGGGGGGCGGUUGCCACGGUGAGAUUCAUGACUGGGGUG
rnacentral:rRNA from 1 species